AACGUAGGAGACAAGCGUUAUCCGAAUUUACUGGGCGUAAAGCGCGUGCAGGUGGUUGGGUAAGUGGCGUGUGAAAUCUCCUGGCUCAACUGGGAGAGGCUGCGCCAAACUGCCCGGCUAGAGGACGGUAGAGGGAGGUGGAAUUCCCGGUGUAGUGGUGAAAUGCGUAGAUAUCGGGAGGAACACCUGUGGCGAAAGCGGCCUCCUGGACCGUACCUGACGCUCAGACGCGAAAGCUAGGGGAGUGAACGGGAUUAGAAACCCCGGUAAUCCUAGCCGUAAACGAUGUGGACUGGGUGUCGGUGGGGUAAAAGCCAUCGGUGCCGAAGCCAACGCGAUAAGUCCACCGCCUGGGGACUACGGCCGCAAGGUUAAA
rnacentral:rRNA from 1 species